rnacentral:rRNA from 1 species
ACACGACUACAUUAGAUACCCCUGUAGUCCUAGCCGUAAACGAUACUCGCUAGGUGUCGGCCACGGUGCGACCGUUGUCGGUGCCGUAGGGAAGCCGUGAAGCGAGCCACCUGGGAAGUACGGCCGCAAGGCUGAAACUUAAAGGAAUUGGCGGGGAGCACCACAACGGGUGGAGCCUGCGGUUUAAUUGGACUCAACGCCGGGAAGCUCACCGGAUAAGACAGCGGAAUGAUUGCCGGGCUGAAGACCCUGCAUGACCAGCUG